UGGGGAAUAUUGCACAAUGGAGGGAACUCUGAUGCAGCGACGCCGCGUGAACGAAGAAGGCGUUCGAGUCGUAAAGUUCUUUUAUAUGGGAAGAUAAUGACGGUACCAUAAGAAAAAGCCCCGGUUAACUACGUGCCAGCAGCCGCGGUAAUACGUAGGGGGCUAGCGUUGUCCGGAAUCACUGGGCGUAAAGGGUUCGCAGGCGGAAAUGCAAGUCAGGUGUAAAAGGCAGUAGCUUAACUACUGUAAGCAUUUGAAACUGCAUAUCUUGAGAAGAGUAGAGGUAAGUGGAAUUUUUAGUGUAGCGGUGAAAUGCGUAGAUAUUAAAAAGAAUACCGGUGGCGAAGGCGACUUUCUGGACUUUUACUGACGCUCAGGUACGAAAGCGUGGGGAGCAAACAGG
rnacentral:rRNA from 1 species